GCGGUCGUAGCUCAGUGGUAGAGCGCUGGUUUGUGGUACCAGAUGCCGCGGGUCCGAUUCCCGUCGUUCGCCCCA
rnacentral:tRNA from 1 species